rnacentral:tRNA from 1 species
GCCACUUUAGCUCAGCGGUAGAGCAGCGCAUUCGUAACGCGCAGGUCGGGAGUUCAAAUCUGCCAAGUGGCU